CCCUUAGAUGUUCUGGGCUGCACGCGCGCUACACUGAUGCACUCAACGAGUUUACACCCUUGCCUGGAAAGGUUGGGUAAUCUUUUGAAAAUGCAUCGUGAUGGGGAUAGAUUAUUGCAAGUAUUAAUCUUCAACGAGGAAUUCCUAGUAGACGUAGUUCAUCAGACUGCAUCGAUUACGUCCCUGCCCUUUGUACACACCGCCCGUCGCUCCUACCGAUUGAAUGCUCAGGUGAGCCAUUCGGACUUUCAUCAUGCUGGUUUCCAGUUUUGAUGAAGGAAAGUCUUGCGAACCUUAUCAUUUAGAGGAAGGAGAAGUCGUAACA
rnacentral:rRNA from 1 species